rnacentral:SRP_RNA from 1 species
AGAGGCUGGCGGCAGGCGUGCCGUUCGCCAACCGGGUCAGGUCCGGAAGGAAGCAGCCCUAACGAAUCCGGCAUGGGUUGUCCGUCCAGUCUCUCGC